GGGCUGCAGUUAAGAAUAAUCUACAAUGCACGCAAGUGUGAUAGUUUGAGCCAGAGUGUCUCUCAACGAGAGACUUUUGUGAAAUGCAAAAAGUUUCACGAAUAAGGACUGGGUAAGACUAGUGCCAGCCGCCGCGGUAAUACUAGCGGUCCAAGUCGCAGCCAUUUUUAUUGGGUCUAAAACAUCCGUAGCUUGCUAUUUAAGUUCCUUGUGAAAUCCUAUAUCUCAAAUAUAGAACGUGCAAGGAGUACUGAAUAGCUAGAGACCGGAAGACGUGAGAAGUACGUUUAAAGUAGCGGUAAAAUGCGUUAAUCUUAGACGGACUAACAAUAGCGAAGGCAUCUCACGAGGACGGUUCUGACAGUAAGGGAUGAAAGCUAGGGGCGCAAAACGGAUUAGAUACCCGUGUAGUC
rnacentral:rRNA from 1 species